CAAUGUCAGCAUAUCAAACCU
rnacentral:snRNA from 1 species